rnacentral:lncRNA from 1 species
CCAAAUUAUUCCCAAAAAAAAGGGUUUAAAUUCCAAAAAAAGGGUUUAAAAUCCCAAUUUAUUCCCACAAUUUUCCCUCAAUUUUCCCACCUUUUUUCCCACAUUUUCCCCUCAAUUUUCCCUCAAUUUUCCCACAUUUUCCCCCCAUUUUCCCACCUUUUUUCCCACCAUUUUCCCUCAUUUUUCCCUCAAUUUUCCCACCAUUUUCCCUCCAUUUUCCCACCAUUUUCCCCUCAAUUUUCCCACCAUUUUCCCACCAUUUUCCCACCAUUUUCCCACCUUUUUUCCCACAUUUUCCCCUCAAUUUUCCUUCAAUUUCCCCUCAAUUUUCCCACCAUUUUCCCUCAAUUUUCCCUCAAUUUUCCCACCUUUUUUCCCACAUUUUCCCCUCAAUUUUCCCACCAUUUUCCCACAUUUUUCCCACCAUUUUCCCCUCAAUUUUCCCACCAUUUUCCCACCAUUUCCCCUCAAUUUUCCCUCCAUUUUCCCACCAUUUUCCCACCUUUUUUCCCUCAAUUUUCCCACCAUUUUCCCUCCAUUUUCCCACCAUUUUUCCCUCAAUUUUCCCUCAAUUUUUCCACAUUUUCCCACCUUUUUUCCCUCAAUUUUCCCACCAUUUUCCCACAUUUUCCCCUCAAUUUUCCCACCAUUUUCCCUCCAUUUUCCCACCUUUUUUCCCACAUUUUCCCCUCAAUUUUCCCUUCAUUUUCCCACCAUUUUCCCACCAUUUUCUCACCAUUUUCCCUCCAUUUUCCCACCUUUUUCCCUCAAUUUUCCCACCAUUUUCCCACCAUUUCCCCCCUUUUUUCCCUCCAUUUUCCCACCAUUUUCCCACAUUUUUCCCACCAUUUUUCCACCUUUUUUCCCUCAAUUUUCCCACCAUUUUCCCACCAUUUUCCCACAUUUUUCCCACCAUUUUCCCACAUUUUUCCCUCAAUUUUCCCACAUUUUCCCACCAUUUUCCCACCUUUUUUCCCACCAUUUUCCCACCAUUCCCCUGGGUUUUUUUUGGGAAUUCCACCUCUUCCCCCCCCCCUUUUUCCCCAACAUUCCCUACUUUUCCCUCUACUUCCCAGAUU